UAACAAGGAUUCCCCUAGUAACGGCGAGUGAAGCGGGAAGAGCUCAAAUUUAAAAUCUGAUAGUCUUUGGCUGUCCGAGUUGUAGUCUAGAGAAGUGUUUUCCGCGUUGGACCGUGUACAAGUCUCUUGGAACAGAGCGUCAUAGAGGGUGAGAAUCCCGUCUUUGACACGGACUACCAAUGCUUUGUGAUGCGCUCUCAAAGAGUCGAGUUGUUUGGGAAUGCAGCUCAAAAUGGGUGGUAAAUUCCAUCUAAAGCUAAAUAUUGGCGAGAGACCGAUAGCGAACAAGUACCGUGAGGGAAAGAUGAAAAGCACUUUGGAAAGAGAGUUAAACAGUACGUGAAAUUGCUGAAAGGGAAACGCUUGAAGUCAGUCGCGUUAGCUAGAACUCAGCCUUGCUUUGCUUGGUGCAUUUUCUAGUUGACGGGCCAGCAUCAGUUUUGAUUGCGGGAUAAAGGUCAGAGGAAUGUGGCACCUUCGGGUGUGUUAUAGCCUCAGAUUGUAUACCGUGGUUGGGACUGAGGAUCUCAGCACGCCUUUAUGGCCGGGGUUUUACCCACGUUCGUGCUUAGGAUGCUGGCGUAAUGGCUUUAAACGAC
rnacentral:rRNA from 1 species